rnacentral:tmRNA from 1 species
GGGGAUGAAGGGAAUCGACUGGUAGUUAAAGCGUAAAGUUCAAGCCGAAGGCAACCUGGAUCUUCGUAAAAAUCAAGGUUAAACAAAAAUGCUGAUGAAGAAUUAGCUCCUGUUGGCGAAUUUGCUUACGCAUACGCCUAAUACAGGUGUUCUAGAAGCACUAUCCUAGCGGAGCUUUUAGGGCAUAAACCAAGCUGGGAAAACCUAUUCUAACAGGACUGGUUGAUUCUAAGAAAAGGUUUUUAGAUCGAAUUUAUUUGAUCUUAUCUCAACCGGCAAAGAUAGAGAUUUGACUCUUUUUCUGUAGUCUUUGCUCAAAAAAACAAAAAGAUGUCUAAGCUUGUAAAAAUAUUUUAUGUAGAGAUUAUCAGCACGGGGGUUCAACUCCCCCCAUCUCCACCA